rnacentral:rRNA from 1 species
AGCGAACGCUGGCGGCAGGCUUAACACAUGCAAGUCGAGCGGGCGUAGCAAUACGUCAGCGGCAGACGGGUGAGUAACGCGUGGGAACAUACCUUUUGGUUCGGAACAACACAGGGAAACUUGUGCUAAUACCGGAUAAGCCCUUACGGGGAAAGAUUUAUCGCCGAAAGAUUGGCCCGCGUCUGAUUAGCUAGUUGGUGAGGUAACGGCUCACCAAGGCGACGAUCAGUAGCUGGCUGAGAGGAUGAUCAGCCACAUUGGGACUGAGACACGGCCCAAACUCCUACGGGAGGCAGCAGUGGGGAAUAUUGGACAAUGGGCGCAAGCCUGAUCCAGCCAUGCCGCGUGAGUGAUGAAGGCCCUAGGGUUGUAAAGCUCUUUUGUGCGGGAAGAUAAUGACGGUACCGCAAGAAUAAGCCCCGGCUAACUUCGUGCCAGCCGCCGCCGUAAC